UACGAAGGGGGCUAGCGUUGCUCGGAAUCACUGGGCGUAAAGCGCACGUAGGCGGCUUUUUAAGUCAGGGGUGAAAUCCUGGAGCUCAACUCCAGAACUGCCUUUGAUACUGAGAAGCUUGAGUCCGGGAGAGGUGAGUGGAACUGCGAGUGUAGAGGUGAAAUUCGUAGAUAUUCGCAAGAACACCCGUGGCGAAGGCGGCUCUCUGGGACGGUACUGACACUGAGACGCGAAAGCGUGGGGAGCGAACAGG
rnacentral:rRNA from 1 species